UUUUUAUGUCUGGGAGGUACAAAUUCUAGAUUUUGCCAUUUGUAUGUCUAUGGCAUUGAUAAGUUGCACACUCUUGAAUUUAACCUGCUAUUAUCCUUAGUUCAUAUCACUGCAUUCGUGAUUAUAUUUUCAGUUUUCAAGUUAUUUGCAUCCCUUUGUUUUCAAGCAUGAUUUCGAAUAUUCCCUUAAAUCUUGUGAGUGACAUUAUCAGGAUGGCUAUAGUAUUUUAAUGUUCGUCAAGAGUCCACUUAUAAGAAAGCAACUGUGUUCAAGACUUAAAGUGAAAAAAAGAUAAGUAUAAUCAAGAUACUAUUACAGUUGUAUGGCAACUAAUAUCGAGUGAUAAAACUUCAUUAAAUCAAGAUCUGUCUUUCAUAUUUCAAAAUUAACUCAUAAAUUAACAACCACAUCUCACUGGUACAAGUUAACAUGUCUGAUUCUUAUCAGAAGUCAAGGUAAGCAAGUUAUUUCCAAUUGAAAAUAGAUCUGGUAUAGGCAAUGACCUGAAUAGUAACUUGAAAACAACAUGAAAACAUAAGACUGCUUUCCAAGAGCAACCUUCAGAUGAUGAAAAGUUUUCAGUCUUUCACUGCAUGAUUGCCUACAUCUUCUAUUAGUGGCCUUUAACUAGAGUGCGUUAAAUUUAGGGCAAUAGAGU
rnacentral:misc_RNA from 1 species